rnacentral:sRNA from 1 species
UCAUGCUUCAGUUGUUGCAGUGAUGGUAAUAUUGCUAUGUGGGAUCUUCGUAAUCGUGAGAUGACAAGACUAUUAAGAGGUCACACUGAUGGGGCUAGUUGUGUUGAUAUUGCACCUGAUGGUAAUAAACUAUGGACUGGUAGUCUUGAUGCUACUGUAAGAUGUUGGGAUCUAAGAGAAGGAAGACAACUACAACAGCAAGACUUUAAUAGUCAGAUAUUCUCAUUAGGAUACUGUCCUACUUCCGAUUGGCUAGCAGUAGGUAUGGAGAGCAGUAGUGUUGAAGUCCUUCGUGUGAGUGGUCCAGAUAAGUAUCAGUUACAUUUACACGAGUCUUGUGUACUGUCACUCAAGUUUGCUCACAGUGGUAAAUGGUUUAUAACUACAGGAAAGGAUAAUCUACUAAAUGCAUGGAGAACACCUUAUGGUGCUAGUAUAUUCCAGAUGUCUGAAAGCAGUAGUGUUUUAAGCUGUGACAUAUCAGUUGACGAUCGUUUUAUUGUUACUGGAUCUGGAGACAAGAAGGCUACAGUGUAUGAAGUUAUACUAUGA